rnacentral:misc_RNA from 1 species
GAUGAAGAACGUAGCGAAAUGCGAUAAGUAAUGCGAAUUGCAGAAUUUCCGUGAGUCAUCGAAUCUUUGAACGCACAUUGCGCCCACUGGUAUUCCGGUGGGCAUGCCUGUUCGAGCGUCAUUAUCCUCCCUCAAACCUCGGGUUUGGUGUUGGACCCAAGUUGUGUGAACAACUGGUCUUAAAGACAAUGACGGCGUCCGUGGGACCCUCGGUGCAACGAGCUUUUAGGAGCACGCGUCGAGUUUCAAGGACCUUCCGGGCCGGUCUCCUUUACCAUUUUACAAGUUUGACCUCGGAUCAGGUAGGAAUACCCGCUGAACUUAAGCAUAUCAAUAAGCGGAGGA